rfam:Triticum aestivum genome assembly, contig: Triticum_aestivum_CS42_TGACv1_scaffold_221586_3B
CACGUACUCCCUCCGUUCCGAAUUACUUGUCUUGGAUUUGUCUAGAUACGGAUGUAUCUAGACUCAUUUUAGUGCUAAUACAUCCGUAUCUAGACAAAUUUAAGAUAAGUAAUUCGGAACAGAGGGAGUAUGUG